CAGACCACGCCCACCAAGGGCUGGCCGCAGCCACUGUAGCUGAGCUCAGAGCCUUCUGUGGGGUUUGUGGGGGCAAGGUCAGCUGCCCCCUGCCCUCCCUCUGGGGCUAUUUGAGGAAUGCGGCCUUUUUGCAUAAGAAAGGCUUUUCUCUACAGUAACUGUGUUCGCUGAUCAAUGACACCUUCCUGAUGUAAGUGGGAUCCGUGGAUCUGAAAAUUCACAGUGGCCGGCUCACCACCACCUGACGAAAGAUACACCACAGGGUGAGAGCAUCCUAACAGCAAACUGCAAAUGAGGUGGGUUUGCAGCUGCACAGAGAAGGGACCCCAGGGAAGCUACACAGAGCCUAGGAUAAUUCCUCUGACCUCACUGGUGAGAUCGUAGGUGCUAAACUAAUACACGGAUUAAACUAUAAGGGCAAAGAAAAAAGUUCUCCUUUGUCCUUUGAAGGUUCACUGAAAAAUCAACUGGCAAAAGGAAGAUUAAUAGAAGAAAAGGUAUGUAAAAUUUUAUUUUAAAUUGCA